rnacentral:rRNA from 1 species
AACGAACGCUGGCGGCAUGCCUAAUACAUGCAAGUCGAACGAACACUUCGGUGUUAGUGGCGCACGGGUGCGUAACGCGUGGGAAUCUACCCUUGGGUUUCGGAAUAACAGUUGGAAACGACUGCUAAUACCGGAUGAUGACGUAAGUCCAAAGAUUUAUCGCCCAGGGAUGAGCCCGCGUAGGAUUAGCUAGUUGGUGA